rnacentral:rRNA from 1 species
AGAGUUUGAUCCUGGCUCAGGGUGAACGCUAGCGGUGCGCCUAACACAUGCAAGUUGAGCGGUAGAAUGGAGUAGCUUGCUACAAAAGGAAAGCGGCGAACGGGUGAGUAAAAUGUUGCUACCUGCCCUCAAGUCGGGGAUAGCCAUUGGAAACGAUGAUUAAUACCGGAUAGUCUCUGAGGAGUAAAAAUUUAUUGCUUGAGGAGGGGGCUUCAAUCUAUCAGCUAGUUGGCGAGGUAACUGCUCACCAAGGCAAUGACGGAUAACUGAUCUGAGAGGAUGAUCAGUCACAAUGGAACUGAGACACGGUCCAUACUCCUACGGGAGGCAGCAGUGAGGAAUCUUCCACAAUGGGCGAAAGCCUGAUGGAGCGACACCGCGUGAAGGAUGAAGGCCUAACGGUUGUAAACUUCUUUUCUGAAGGAGCAUAAUGAGAGUACUUCAGGAAUAAGGAGCGGCUAAUCACGUGCCAGCAGCCGCGGUAAUACGUGAGCUCCGAGCAUUACCCGGAAUUACUGGGUGUAAAGAGUUUGUAGGCGGAGCGAUAAGUUGUGUAUUAAAGACCGAAGCUUAACUUCGAGUUUGUGCACAAAACUAUCAUUCUAGAAUCAGGGAGGGGUAAGCGGAAUUCUGAGUGUAGGGGUGCAAUCCGUAGAUACUCAGAGGAACACCAAAAGCGAAGGCAGCUUACUGGAACUGAAUUGACGCUCAAGAACGAAAGCGUGGGGAGCGAAAAGGAUUAGAUACCCUUGUAGUCCACGCCCUAAACGAUGAUAAUUAAGUGUUGCGACUAGAUCGCAGUGCUGUAGCUAACGCGUUAAGUUAUCCACCUGAGGAGUACGGUCGCAAGAUUAAAACUCAAAGGAAUAGACGG